rnacentral:rRNA from 1 species
AGUGAACGCUGGCGGUAGGCCUAACACAUGCAAGUCGAACGGCAGCACAGUAAGAGCUUGCUCUUACGGGUGGCGAGUGGCGGACGGGUGAGGAAUACAUCGGAAUCUACUUUUUCGUGGGGGAUGACGUAGGGAAACUUACGCUAAUACCGCAUACGACCUACGGGUGAAAGCAGGGGAUCUUCGGACCUUGCGCGAUUGAAUGAGCCGAUGUCGGAUUAGCUAGUUGGCGGGGUAAAGGCCCACCAAGGCGACGAUCCGUAGCUGGUCUGAGAGGAUGAUCAGCCACACUGGAACUGAGACACGGUCCAGACUCCUACGGGAGGCAGCAGUGGGGAAUAUUGGACAAUGGGCGCAAGCCUGAUCCAGUCAUACCGCGUGGGUGAAGAAGGCCUUCGGGUUGUAAAGCCCUUUUGUUGGGAAAGAAAAGCAGCAGGUUAAUACCCCGCUGUUCUGACGGUACCCAAAGAAUAAGCACCGGCUAACUUCGUG